GGCCGCUCAGGUGGCUUAGUGGUAAGAGCGUCCGCCUCGGAUAUAGGAGAUCGUGGGUUCGAACCCCGGCCAGGUCA